GAUGAACGCUGCGGCGUGCCUAAUCCAUGCAAGUCGAGCGAACAGACGAGGAGCUUGCUCCUCUGACGUUAGCGGCGGACGGGUGAGUAACACGUGGAUAACCUACCUAUAAGACUGGGAUAACUUCGGGAAACCGGAGCUAAUACCGGAUAAUAUAUUGAACCGCAUGGUUCAAUAGUGAAAGACGGUUUUGCUGUCACUUAUAGAUGGAUCCGCGCCGCAUUAGCUAGUUGGUAAGGUAACGGCUUACCAAGGCGACGAUGCGUAGCCGACCUGAGAGGGUGAACGGCCACACUGGAACUGAGACACGGUCCAGACUACUACGGGAGGCAGCAGUAGGGAAUCUUCCGCAAUGGGCGAAAGCAUGACGGAGCAACGCCGCGUGAGUGAUGAAGGUCUUCGGAUCGUAAAACUCUGUUAUUAGGGAAGAACAAAUGUGUAAGUAACUAUGCACGUCUUGACGGUACCUAAUCAGAAAGACACGGCUAACUACGUG
rnacentral:rRNA from 1 species